rnacentral:rRNA from 1 species
AAGUCGGUUGCGAAAGCCUUCCGCUCAACGGAAGAACGGCAUCCGAUACUGCAUGGCUUGAGUGUGGGAGGGGAGAGUGGAACUUCUGGUGGAGCGGUGAAAUGCGUAGAUAUCAGAAGGAACACCGGCGGCGAAGGCGACUCUCUGGUCCAUAACUGACGCUGAGUGUGCGAAAGCUAGGGGAGCAAACGGGAUUAGAUACCCCGGUAGUCCUAGCCGUAAACGAU